rnacentral:rRNA from 1 species
AACGAACGCUGGCGGCAGGCUUAACACAUGCAAGUCGAGCGCCCCGCAAGGGGAGCGGCAGACGGGUGAGUAACGCGUGGGAAUCUACCCAUCUCUACGGAAUAACGCAUGGAAACGUGUGCUAAUACCGUAUACGUCCUUCGGGAGAAAGAUUUAUCGGAGAUGGAUGAGCCCGCGUUGGAUUAGCUAGUUGGUGGGGUAAAGGCCUACCAAGGCGACGAGCCAUAGCUGGUCUGAGAGGAUGAUCAGCCACACUGGGACUGAGACACGGCCCAGACUCCUACGGGAGGCAGCAGUGGGGAAUAUUGGACAAUGGGCGCAAGCCUGAUCCAGCCAUGCCGCGUGAGCGAUGAAGGCCCUAGGGUUGUAAAGCUCUUUCACCGGGGAAGAUAAUGACGGUAACCGGAGAAGAAGCCCCGGCUAACUUCGUGCCAGCCGCCGCGGUAAAAC